CUUGUACUCCCUCCAUCCGAAAAUACUUGUCAUUGAAAUGGAUGUAUCUAGAUGUAUUUUAGUUCUAGACACAUCCAUUUUGAUGACAAGUAAUUCCGGACAGAGGGAGUACUUG
rfam:Triticum urartu cultivar G1812 contig825682, whole genome shotgun sequence.